ACUCCUACGGGAGGCAGCAGUGGGGAAUAUUGGACAAUGGGCGCAAGCCUGAUCCAGCCAUGCCGCGUGAGUGAUGAAGGCCCUAGGGUUGUAAAGCUCUUUCACCGGAGAAGAUAAUGACGGUAUCCGGAGAAGAAGCCCCGGCUAACUUCGUGCCAGCAGCCGCGGUAAUACGAAGGGGGCUAGCGUUGUUCGGAAUUACUGGGCGUAAAGCGCACGUAGGCGGAUCGAUCAGUCAGGGGUGAAAUCCCAGGGCUCAACCCUGGAACUGCCUUUGAUACUGUCGAUCUGGAGUAUGGAAGAGGUGAGUGGAAUUCCGAGUGUAGAGGUGAAAUUCGUAGAUAUUCGGAGGAACACCAGUGGCGAAGGCGGCUCACUGGUCCAUUACUGACGCUGAGGUGCGAAAGCGUGGGGAGCAAACAGGAUUAGAAACCCUGGUAGUCCCAUGAU
rnacentral:rRNA from 1 species